GGUUAAGCGACUAAGCGUACACGGUGGAUGCCCUGGCAGUCAGAGGCGAUGAAGGACGUGCUAAUCUGCGAUAAGCGCUGGUAAGGUGAUAUGAACCGUUAUAACCGGCGAUUUCCGAAUGGGGAAACCCAGUGUGAUUCGUCACACUAUCAUUAACUGAAUCCAUAGGUUAAUGAGGCGAACCGGGGGAACUGAAACAUCUAAGUACCCCGAGGAAAAGAAAUCAACCGAGAUUCCCCCAGUAGCGGCGAGCGAACGGGGAGGAGCCCAGAGCCUGAAUCAGCAUGUGUGUUAGUGGAAGCGUCUGGAAAGGCGCGCGAUACAGGGUGACAGCCCCGUACACAAAAGCGCAUGUGCUGUGAGCUCGAUGAGUAGGGCGGGACACGUGGUAUCCUGUCUGAAUAUGGGGGGACCAUCCUCCAAGGCUAAAUACUCCUGACUGACCGAUAGUGAACCAGUACCGUGAGGGAAAGGCGAAAAGAACCCCGGCGAGGGGAGUGAAAAAGAACCUGAAACCGUGUACGUACAAGCAGUGGGAGCACAGGUUUACCUGUGUGACUGCGUACCUUUUGUAUAAUGGGUCAGCGACUUAUAUUCUGUAGCAAGGUUAACCGUAUAGGGGAGCCGUAGGGAAACCGAGUCUUAACCGGGCGUUAAGUUGCAGGGUAUAGACCCGAAACCCGGUGAUCUAGCCAUGGGCAGGUUGAAGGUUGGGUAACACUAACUGGAGGACCGAACCGACUAAUGUUGAAAAAUUAGCGGAUGACCUGUGGCUGGGGGUGAAAGGCCAAUCAAACCGGGAGAUAGCUGGUUCUCCCCGAAAGCUAUUUAGGUAGCGCCUCGUGAAUUCAUCUCCGGGGGUAGAGCACUGUUUCGGCUAGGGGGCCAUCCCGGCUUACCAACCCGAUGCAAACUGCGAAUACCGGAGAAUGUUAUCACGGGAGACACACGGCGGGUGCUAACGUCCGUCGUGAAGAGGGAAACAACCCAGACCGCCAGCUAAGGUCCCAAAGUCAUGGUUAAGUGGGAAACGAUGUGGGAAGGCCCAGACAGCCAGGAUGUUGGCUUAGAAGCAGCCAUCAUUUAAAGAAAGCGUAAUAGCUCACUGGUCGAGUCGGCCUGCGCGGAAGAUGUAACGGGGCUAAACCAUGCACCGAAGCUGCGGCAGCGAACGUAUCACCCAAGACAACUUUACGGAGUUGACGAUUGACGGAGCGAAGCGACGUCAAAGCGUUCAUUAAAGUCGAGUUGGCUUAGGGAUACGUUCGUUGGGUAGGGGAGCGUUCUGUAAGCCUGUGAAGGUGUGUCGUGAGGCAUGCUGGAGGUAUCAGAAGUGCGAAUGCUGACAUAAGUAACGAUAAAGCGGGUGAAAAGCCCGCUCGCCGGAAGACCAAGGGUUCCUGUCCAACGUUAAUCGGGGCAGGGUGAGUCGACCCCUAAGGCGAGGCCGAAAGGCGUAGUCGAUGGGAAACGGGUUAAUAUUCCCGUACUUGGUGUUACUGCGAAGGGGGGACGGAGAAGGCUAUGUUGGCCGGGCGACGGUUGUCCCGGUUUAAGCGUGUAGGUGUGUGUUCCAGGUAAAUCCGGUUCACUUUAACACUGAGGCGUGACGACGAGGCACUACGGUGCUGAAGCAACAAAUGCCCUGCUUCCAGGAAAAGCCUCUAAGCAUCAGGUAAUAUCAAAUCGUACCCCAAACCGACACAGGUGGUCAGGUAGAGAAUACCAAGGCGCUUGAGAGAACUCGGGUGAAGGAACUAGGCAAAAUGGUGCCGUAACUUCGGGAGAAGGCACGCUGACACGUAGGUGAAGUGAUUUACUCAUGGAGCUGAAGUCAGUCGAAGAUACCAGCUGGCUGCAACUGUUUAUUAAAAACACAGCACUGUGCAAACACGAAAGUGGACGUAUACGGUGUGACGCCUGCCCGGUGCCGGAAGGUUAAUUGAUGGGGUCAGCGCAAGCGAAGCUCCUGAUCGAAGCCCCGGUAAACGGCGGCCGUAACUAUAACGGUCCUAAGGUAGCGAAAUUCCUUGUCGGGUAAGUUCCGACCUGCACGAAUGGCGUAAUGAUGGCCAGGCUGUCUCCACCCGAGACUCAGUGAAAUUGAACUCGCUGUGAAGAUGCAGUGUACCCGCGGCAAGACGGAAAGACCCCGUGAACCUUUACUAUAGCUUGACACUGAACAUUGAGCCUUGAUGUGUAGGAUAGGUGGGAGGCUUUGAAGUGUGGACGCCAGUCUGCAUGGAGCCGACCUUGAAAUACCACCCUUUAAUGUUUGAUGUUCUAACGUGGACCCGUAAUCCGGGUUGCGGACAGUGUCUGGUGGGUAGUUUGACUGGGGCGGUCUCCUCCUAAAGAGUAACGGAGGAGCACGAAGGUUGGCUAAUCCUGGUCGGACAUCAGGAGGUUAGUGCAAUGGCAUAAGCCAGCUUGACUGCGAGCGUGACGGCGCGAGCAGGUGCGAAAGCAGGUCAUAGUGAUCCGGUGGUUCUGAAUGGAAGGGCCAUCGCUCAACGGAUAAAAGGUACUCCGGGGAUAACAGGCUGAUACCGCCCAAGAGUUCAUAUCGACGGCGGUGUUUGGCACCUCGAUGUCGGCUCAUCACAUCCUGGGGCUGAAGUAGGUCCCAAGGGUAUGGCUGUUCGCCAUUUAAAGUGGUACGCGAGCUGGGUUUAGAACGUCGUGAGACAGUUCGGUCCCUAUCUGCCGUGGGCGCUGGAGAACUGAGGGGGGCUGCUCCUAGUACGAGAGGACCGGAGUGGACGCAUCACUGGUGUUCGGGUUGUCAUGCCAAUGGCACUGCCCGGUAGCUAAAUGCGGAAGAGAUAAGUGCUGAAAGCAUCUAAGCACGAAACUUGCCCCGAGAUGAGUUCUCCCUGAGACUUAGAGUCUCCUGAAGGAACGUUGAAGACGACGACGUUGAUAGGCCGGGUGUGUAAGCGCAGCGAUGCGUUGAGCUAACCGGUACUAAUGAACCGUGAGGCUUAACCUU
rnacentral:rRNA from 1 species